UCAUUCUGGUUGCUUUUACACAUUCAUUCCUACCAUCUGAAUCAGAGUUGUUAUUACUGUUGGUUCCUAUCUUAACAUUUUAUUUUAUUCAGCACCUUUAAAAAAUUAAAACCCUAUCACAUUCUGAAAUCAAGCAGCUGCUUUCCUGUUUUCCUCCCAUCUGCUCUCAGUGCUAUAUGGAAUGUUUUUGUUUGAACUGUUAAUUAUACUGUUUAAUAAUGGUUUGGGCACAAUAUUUUUCUCAACAGAUUUAAAAAUAAAUAAAUAAGCAAAUUGUGUGGAAUUGUUGGUCCUUGGGGACGUAUGAGGACACGACCUCACUGGAAAUGAGAAAAAGGUGGAUCUGUGUAUGUGUGCAUUCUCCUUUAACGUAUGCCUCAAAAGAGCAUGAUGCAACCAUUCCCCCCCUUUUUAAUAAAACCCCCAGUUCAUCAUAAAUGGUACUCGUGGAAGGCUUUUUUUUUUGUCUUCAGAGGCAAUACGCAAAAGAGAUGACCUUCCAAGAGAGUAGCUCUCCUGCAGGCGAUAGAAGAUAUCAAAGCUAAAGUGGCUGAGGUGGAGCACUUUGACAGUGUGGUCAAGAAGCUGAACGCUGAGUCUCCAGGACACACAGAAAGAAAGAAUCAGAAGGCAAGAAAAGCCAUCAUAUUUAGACCUAAGAUCCAGCAGGUAAAACAGGAGCUGGGAGGAUGAGCAAGGGAGCGUUGCAGAGGGACGAGAGCAAGAAUUUGCCAGUCAGGAUGAAAAACUUCUAAUGGAAUCCAGCUUGAAAGCAAGUCAAGAGCAGCUAAGUGAGCAAAGAGCAGAAACCAUUUGCACAGACCAGUAGAAAAUCACAGACAGAGCUGAAGCCACUGAGAGAACGCAUUAUAGAUUCUCAUGAAGAAAGUAGUGAUUACAAAUCACCACAGCAUCCUUGAAUAUAAGACAGAAGAGAUGAGGAAGCAAGAUACAGUAUCCACGGGAGAGCAAAUGAUCCCUGAUGUAGUGAAAGAGAGGUCAGAAAUUAUGAAACUGGAUUGCAUGUUAUUCCAUGGCUAGCACUUCCAAGGUCUGAAAUGGUAAAUGGAAGAAUGGUUUCUUAAGAAGGGAUGCUUGGGUUCUUCAAAAUCAAAAAUUGAAGUUAUUCUUGAGGAGCGCAUAGCAAAACAGAAACAAACAACACUCUGAAUUCAAAGUUUUCUCCAGUACUGGACACAAGGCGACCUACAAUAAAUCAAAAAUAUAGCCUUGCACAGAAAACCCAUGAUAGGUGUCAGCUUCUCUUUGCUUGGGCUUUGGACACACUGUUGAGUGUAAAAAUCAAGUUAUACCUCUGUCAAAUCAUGCAAUCCAUAACAGAAAGAAGGAGAAAAGGUUUCAUUGCAAAAGGAAUUUCUUCAUCAGACUGUACACUGACAUGUACAUGCUAUGCAUGUAAGUAUGGAUUUAUAGUAUAUCCCAUUACUGGUUUGAACCAAGACAGAAUGAAUUAAAGAGUGAAUAGGAUACAUAGAUUUCUCUUGAGAAUACAGGGAUUUUGAUCCUUCUGUUUCCACAUAAUAUUACAAUAAGAAGCUUCUGUAACUUAUGGCAAUUGCAUUUUCAGUUCAUCCUAUGUGCUAAAAAAAUACAGCUCGUACUCUUAAUAAAUAGCUUUUCUGUGCUACUACCAGUUGUGUUGAUUGCACAAACUCUUUAAUUAGACACACACUUAGAUGAGAUACACAUGUUUUACAAGGUAAAAUUAGGUGACAUUUUAAACACAUUUCAGCUAACAAGAAGAACCAUGUGCAAUUGGGAAGCCAAGGAAAUUGUAUUUCAGGCAUUUCAACAAGGCUGUAACAAAGGAGCAGCAAUACAAAAUAAGUGAAUGAUUCUACUUGAUUCUUCUAUCCCCCCCCCCCCCCCCAGUCAUUUUAUCAGGGACGAAGAAUAUUUUACAAUAGUGCACGCAUGAAGGUUGUAUGCAUUCCCCAGCAUUAAAUUGUGGUAGAAAAUGAAAAACCUAAUAGCAUUUUGAUAUAUUCCAGUUAGGUUUUCCAUUAGGAGAAAAAGGUGAUAUGUUCACACCAUUUGUCAGGAAACGAAGAAAUGAAGAGAAUGUUGACAAUUUCAUUACACUCUGGUUAUGGGGUGAUCCGCAGUUACCUAUUACAAGAUAAAAAAAGCCUAUUCAGAAUAUUAUUAGUUGAAAACAUUACUGUUUAUAGUUACUUUAAGUAGUGCUGCAACUGCACAGUUGAUAUAAUGAUACAAUCCACAGAUUUCAAAAGAGAGAUUUCAUAUCACUUACAGCUUUAGCUCAUUUUUUGACUGGUAAGAAUGAUACAACAUCAAAACAAGUCCUGUACUGAUAAGACAAAGGGCUAUUUUUUUUAAAAAAAGAAAGUAACCGAUCGGUUAUUAAAAGUACCUCAGAGUGUUGCACAAUUUUUUUACCUUUAUUCAGAAAGACUGCAUUUCUGGCCAUUGGUUAAACUUCUUUAACUCUUUUGAAUCCUAACAACCCAGUUGUGUGCAGAAUUGCAGCCAAAUCCACACACACACACACCCCCACCCGCACAUGCAUGUACAUACACAUACUGGCUAUUUUAUUGACUGUACAAUUUCAACUAUUUUUUAAAUAAUAUUUCACUGGUGGCUGAUCAUUUCCAUUAACUAACUGCAUGGUCACAUUGGUUUGUUUGUUUUUCUUGUGUGCUUUCAAGUCAUUUCUGACUUAACGGAGACCCAAGGUAAACCUAUCAUGAGGUUUUCUUGGCAAGAUUUCUUUGGAGUGGGUUUGUGUUUGCCUUGACCUGAGAGAAUGUGAGUUGCUCAAGGUCACCAAGUGGGUCUUUAUGUCUGAGCAUGUCUUUCCAGGAUCAUAGUCCAACCCUCUACUAUAGAUAUCACAGGUAAUGCGUAUCUAUGAAGAAGUGAUUCUCUUUCAACUCUUUAUGGAUGCCUUUGAGGUAAGUGGGUACUGGAUAGCAGUGUUGAUGCAAACUUACCAGUCAAGCUUCUAUAGUAUAGUUGUUGUGUACAGCUAAUAACAUCCAGAGUUGGGAUACUACUACUACUACAACAACAACAACAACAACAACAACAACAACAACAACAACAACAAUCUUUUCUUAUAUUCUGCCCCCUCUCCCAAAGGACUUGGAUGGCUUACAACAAAUAAAUAUAAAACCAAGCAAGAAUAAAAUAAUACAUAAUGACAAUCAAAAAACACCACAACUAACUAAUAAUAUCAAAAUAAAAUACACAGAUUAAAUUUGGCAGGAUUUGAAACCCUCAUACUUAAUUGAAUGCAUUUUGGAUGCACAACUGAACGAACAAUCAAAUGCACAUCUACAGGUACGAUGGCAUCACUUUAGGGUUGCCCAAUUAAUCCCAUCCCACUCCUGAAAUUUCAAGGUGAAAACCUGAGAUCUGGGAAUCACACAUUGUAAUGUCACAAUGGGUAGCUCUGAUAAUGUUAUAAUGCAUAUUUUAAGAUAUUAAUACAUGCUACAUUCAUGUUAUAAAGUAUAUUGCAUUAAGAUAUCAAUUCAGGCUACAUUAAGCAUCAAUCACAUCUGCACAGUUUGCUAGUCUUUUUUUAAAAAAAACCAAAACAAAACAAAACAAACACCAUGUCUAAUGAAUAAGGAAGAUACACAUGCAAACACUCAGGCAAACACUGUUCAAGGCAAUAUUUUUCACCCUGAAAUUCCUUUUACUUGCUCUGAAGACUGGAGACGAGGUUGGAGAUCUCAGGCCCUGUGAUCAGGGAACCCUACACCAUGUGCAUAAUUGCCAAAGCUGUGAAUGGAAUGCAGAUGUUGCACUUUAUACAAAAAUAUCCACCCAUUACCAUUGGGAAAUUUAUGCACAGAAAAGACAAAAACAGAUUUCUGAUUAUAGAGUAUAAACAGGACAAAGGAUUACGUUGCAGUGCACUUUGGUAAUCUAUGACGGUUCCUAAGUAGAUAUAGGAGAUGGGUGCCUCAUGCCCAUCCAAAUGUUGCUGAGCUCCAGUUGCCCAUCGGUGUCAGUCUGCAUGGGCAGUGGAGAGGGAUGAUGGGGGCUGAAGUGAAACAGCUUAUGGAAAGCCACAGGUUUCCCACCCCUAAGACUAAGUAAGGAAGCUCCCUUGUUGGGUACUAUCUGCAAAUGCAAUUGAGUAUUGCUACGUGAAGAAAAAUUCUACACCUUCCACUCCUGGGGGAUCCUGCCAUACAGAUAUUUGAGUGCAGCCCACUGCUGGGCCUGUGGAACAGUGGAUCAGUGCUGUACUAUUCUAGUUUAAUUAAGUUUUGCUCUGAUUUCUACAGUCUCGUGUAAUGAAUAUAAAAUUACAACUUUAAAAGAAUUGGGGAGAAGGGAGCUAAGCUAUGCUUUGAUUAAAACAGUGCUCUGUGGGAUUUGUAAAGCAGAGGAUUACAUUGGGGACUUCUUACUGUACAAUAAAUACCAAAGACCUGUCCUUGCCAUGUAGGAAAAUAAAGGAAAGAAAAGCAGCAACAUUUGCUAAAGGAAAGAUUACUUGCUUCAUGCAGAAAUUUUUAAUUAAAGUCUGGGAUUCAGUUUAAAAGUGAUGGUGGUAUGUAAAGAAACUUAUGUUCAUGGCAAUGAGGGGUGGCACACAUUGGUUCUGCAAAGUACUAUUUGUGUUGAUGGUAGUAUGCAAAUAAAUCAUGAUUUUCAUAAUUUUAAUGUAUGUUGCCCCUUAGUUAUGUGUAUACUUGUAAACGUUGUUUAUCAAGUUUACACCUUCCUGUGUAAAAAGUCAUGUUUUCAAGCUCUGAGUGUAGCAUUAGCAGAUCAUUCUGGCAUUUCAGCAUCAUUUUUAAUUUUAAAAAAUAAUAAUGAGUAAGAACUUAUUUUUUUUAUUAAAUGUGUUCAUAGGCAGGUUGAAUAUCCCUUAUCUGAUUGGGACCAAAAUGUUUUGGAUUCCCUCCCAUCUCAAAUUUUGGAAUACCUGCACUGGCAUAUAUAUAAGUAAUAUCUUUGAAAUGAGACCAAAGUCUAAACACAAAAUGUACUAUGUUUCAUUUACACCCUAUACACAGAACCUGAAGGUAAUUUUAUAUGUAAAUUUUUAAAAUAAUUUUGUGCAUGAAACAGAGUGAACCAUCAGAAAGCAAAGGUGUCAUUAUCUCGGCUACUCAAGUGAACAGUUUUGGAUUUGGGAGUAUUUCAGAUUACAGAAUUUGGGAUAAAGGAUGCUCAAUUUGCAUUUGAUGACAGCUGUUUAAUGUAAUAGUGGACAGGGACACCCUUCCUCCCUCCCUUCCUUCCUUUCUUUUUUGGUUCAGCAUCAGUGUAAUUGGAAAUGAGAAUAAAUUCACAUGGCAUGUGCCAAGUAGAUCUAUGCAGCUGAGACUAUGAGAAUGAGGCUGUGGGACUGACUACAUUUUGUUUGCAUUUUGUCCAUAGAUGGUUAUGUAUGAUUUCCAGCAUGGGCCCAGACUUUAGCUGAACUGCCUUUGGUAAAUUGGUAUCAAUAACAGAUAACUUUUUGAAUAAAGGGGAAAUGCAUGCCAAGUGCAGUUGCUUUCUUAUGCCAACCUUAUUAGAGGGUUUUCUUGGCAAGGUUUAUUCAAAGGAAGUUUUCUAUUUCCUUCCUCCUAGUCUGAGAAAAGAUUAAGGGAUUUACCCAAGAUCACACAGAUGGUUUCCACAUCUGAGCAGGGAUUUGAACCCUGAUCUCCAGAAGUCCUAACCUAGGAUUCAAACCACAAUAUCACUCCAACAAAAAUAGUGGCAUGAAUUGCUCAAAGAUUGUAUCUAACAAAGCAUUUCCAGUGUAGCAAAUUUUUCCUUCAAUGUAAUUAAAUACUCCAUGCACAUACACAAAAAAUGGAUAAAUAUGCUCACAACGCCUUUGCUAUCCAUGCAGACUUGUUUAUUUUAUUCUUUGCAUCUUGAUCUUAUUUUUCUUAAGGCAAUUGGACUUUUUUAAAAGAUGGAAAUCAACUCUUCCAUAAUAUAACAACUAUGGCAUGAAUUUGCAGCAUCAGCCUAAUAAGUUUUGACAUGUUAAAUAUAGGUUACUACACCAGACCUCUGCAUUAUGAAAAGCUUCCAUGUAGUGGCUGUGGUAUAGAUGGUGCCAGUUGAAGUAGGGAUUGUAGGAUAAAACACAAGGGAUUAAUAUAGCAGGAUAGCAGCUAGAUGAACUUAAUCAAACUAGAUGGACUGAUUUAUAAACUUGAGUCUAGUUUUGUAAAGACUGAAGACCCUGAAAGAAAUCAAAUACUCUUCCUGUCCCAUAUGGACCGCACACAUCUUGUAAUGCAGAAAUGAAAUGGGCAGAGAAUUUUCCAAUCCAAUUGUUCUAUUACUGUGCCUCAACUCCAUUCUAAAAUUACCAGUGAAAAUAUAUUUUUGAAUGGAAUAUUAGGAGUCUUUUAAGGAUGGUUUGUGAGGCCAACUCCCUCUAGUUCCAUACACAGGAUGGUAUUCACUAUGUCCCUAAAUCUUGAUUGUUAUUAAAACAAUAUUAGAGGGCCAUAGAAGAGUAUCGAGACAGAAAAGCUUAGGAUUUUUAGACUACAGCUACCAGAAUUUCCCAGCCAGCAAGGCCACUGGGAAAAGUGAAAGUUAUAAACCGCUCUGAGUCCUUAUUGGAGAUAGAGCGGUAUAUAAAUAAAGUUUUUUUGUUGUUGUAAUUCAAAAAAGUAACUUUUCAAACUCUGCUCCAGUACAGUUUUUCUAUGUGGCUCCAGGGUUCAAUUUGAUCUAAAUAGGGCAGGAAUUUGCUGCAGUUGCUUCGCUGAUACAAAUAAGUUAAGUAAAACAUAUGGUUAAUGUAACAUACAAAGCAUUCAAAGCCCCCUGUGGAUUCCUGAAACCACAGAUAAAGGCGAACCCUAUAUUUUGUCUAUACUUGUGAUAGAGGCAUGCCAUAGAAUAGCAUCGAAAGACCUAAAGAACUCCAUAAACACUUCCAGGGGGUGGCCUAUUUUUUUACAGCAUGAGUAAGUGAAACCAUGGAUAUUGAGUCUGUGAAUAAGGGGAUCACGCUGUAUCUUGCAACAAUUCAUAGUAAUAUAAUUAUUUAAUUGUAGUUACCCACUGAAAUGAGAUGUUACCCACUGAUAUGGUUAUGAAUGGGCAUUGAACUGAAGUUCUAACUUAAUAAGGUGCCAAUUCUUUCCUGUUGUGCACAACAUGUUGGGACAUGGUUCACAAUAGCACAUUCAGCUCUCUCCCUUUCAGAAUAAUUUUUUCUAUGUCAAAGUGACAUUGAACACAGCCCCCCCCCACCCCCCGGUUUGGCAGAGCGUUCCACAGAUAGCCAUGGCUCUUUUAUUUUGAUGAGUUAGUUUUGCGAGAAGCGGGGAGAAGAGUGGUAAAUAAAUAAAUAAAUAAAUAAGGUUCAGAGGAGCCCAGCGCCCUGGAUACUUUCCUUGAAACAAUCUUUCCUUUUUAUUUUUAUUUUAUUGUUCUCGAACCCUUCAAUAAAUAUGCAUCUUGGUGCAUUAUUCUCUCCUUUUGACUACUUUGUAUCUCUUUCUGCCUCCUUGAGUCUAUUUCUUCCAUUUUCACCUCCCGCAGCUGGCCCCAGUGACCAUCAGGCCACAUAGCCCAUCCAGCCCCAUGGCCCUGCACAGCCCACGGAGCAGGGCUUAUUAUUUCCUUCUUCCCCACACUAACCACUCUUCAUCUCCCUGAACCCCUACACCACCUCCCUUCCCCUGUGGGUGCCCUGGUUUCCUUGAUGGGAGCCCCCAGUAUCCACGGAUUCUUAUUUUUCCCAUUUAAUGUGUAUAUAUGUUAUAUUUCUGUGUAUAAAAACAUCUUUGGAGAAGUAUGCCACUGAUCAAUACCUUUGGCUGACCUUUUGCCAGCACCUCAUGACCCAGGAAAUCCCCUCCAGCCAUUUUCCUGGGCAUCAUCUCAAUCAUAAAAGACACAAUCACCCAUCAUCUUCAGGCCAGUACUGGCCCCAUAGACCCAGCUGCACCUAGGGCAACAGGAUCAGGAAUUGGACUACCCGCCCACUUGGACAUAUCAAUGAUCACUUAUCACGCGGCAUUCUCUUCCCUGAUGUUGGGAUGGCUUGCCCCGUUCACCACAAUGCCAUCUCCCUCGUUCCCAGGAACAGACUCUAAAUCCCAUCAUUAUGGACAAUAUACUGCUUUGAAACACAAUGGACACUGGUGCAGAGUCUUCAGACUCACGCGGUCAGGGUUCAUAAAGACAAUAAUCACAAACUCAUGGUACCCGAGGUUUGUUCCAGAGUUGGGACAAUGUAAUCCCAUCAUAACACCAUGUCUUCUUUGUCUGAAGUUUCCAUCCUGCCCCCUGUCAGCCAUUGGAGAGCAGAAAUCUGCAUUGGAAGCAAAGAAUGCUCUCCUAUUGGCUGACAGGUACCACAGUCCUACCUCUGCAGGGAAUCCUCUCUGAUGUCAAUGGAGCCCAGCCAAUCACAGCAGAGCCAUCUCCAGCUGGGGUGGGAGUGGGAAUUUCAAAAAACUGUAAUGUAUAAAAUGUCUGUUUUGCAAUGUUACGGUAUCUCAGCUUACUUUGGCAGAUAACCACAAGCUGGCAUCACUUCAGCUGGCUCAGUAAAUUACCUUGGUGGCUUCUUCUUCAACUUGGUGAGAUUUUCAUUCAGGAAUAUUGGACUAGCUUCUUUGUCUUGCCAGGCAUAUGGAUUCACAGGCGGCCUGUGGCUGAUACCAGUAUCCACUUACCGGGACUCGGUAUCCAUGCUUCAGGUUUCACUACCUGCAACUCACUAUCCGCGGUUGCCUGAAAUUGCUCAAUUUCAAUAGACAUCACUAGAAAUUGUGUCAUUUUGAAGACUUUCACACAGGGACAGCCUCCAUGCUGGAGCAUUGGGGAGAAGUGACUGACCAAGUGACUGUGGGAGUCCCAUCAGAAUGCCAGAGCAUAGCCAAAGGAUGAAGAAUGAUACCAGGAAGUCUGCAAUUUUCAGUUAGGCCUCCCUCCCUCCCUCUCUCUCUCUUUCUCUCUCUCUCUCUCUCUCUCUCUCACACACACACUUAUUCCAACUCAACUACCCUGGAUCUAUCUUAUGGCAUCCUAGGAUUUAGCAGUAGAAUUCUCUUCCAGAGAAGCUUAGAGCCUCACAUAACUACAAAUAGCAGAACUCCUUGGGACGUAGCCACCAUAUAGUUCUAGAUAACCAAUUUGCACUCUCCCUUUCGCCAAAAAACACAGGCUGGGAGUUUGGGUAGUUUGACAACCUCAAAAUUUUUGACCAGCUUUCCAUUUUCCUGUUUUUCCAGGCUAGUGAAAUUUUUUUCCCCUCACAGUCUGCACCAGUCAUGUUAGCUCUUGUCAUUGGUACAAAAUGUUGAAAUUGCGUCCUUAUAAUUAACACUCUGAACAACAGCCUUCUAAGUAUUGCAUGAUUGCCAAACAGGAAAAAUACCUACAAAUAAUUAUAUGUGGAGAAUCUCAGAAGUUAAAUUAUUCACAAUAUUUAAUUACUUUAAUUAAAGUUCAUACUCUGUAUGUGUGCUUUUAUAAAUAAACACUUGAAGCAGUUCUAGCUUCUCCAACUUUCCUAGGUCCCUAGGAUUGUCAGUUAAAAAUAUUGCACGAGAAAUUAAAUUCCCUGAUCUUUCUUUUCCAUCUUUCUUGCUUAAACUGCUAGUGAACAACAACUUCAUUAUUCAGAUUAGUAUUGUCCCCAUACAAUAUAGCAUGUUAUCACAUCUCAGAGGUUCCUCUUGCCCCAUAGAAUAUUUCAUUUCACUGUGUUCCUUUUGAGGAAUUCAGCCUAUGGAAAUUGUAUACAUUAUUGCAUUCAGUGUUUAGAUCAACAUAAACCUCAUAUGUAGCAUUUCUUCCUAAAUAUACAAACAAUAUAUAGAAAUUUCAUAUAUAGAGUCAGAACACAUCUAUCUGGAGUAGCACUGUUUAAUACAGGGGUCCUCAAACUUUUGAAGUGGAGGGCCAGUUUAUGGUCCCUCAGACUCUUGAGGGGCCGAAUUAUCAUUUGAAAAAAAUACGAACAAAUUCCUAUGCACACUGCACAUGUCUUACUUGUAGUGCAAAAAAACCCACAACAACAAUUAUUUAUUUAUUUUAUUUACUACAUUUAUAUCCCACCCUCUCUCAUCCCGAAGGGGAGUCAGAGCGGCUUACAAGUUGUAUGUACAUACAAUAUAUUAUAUUAUUAGCAUAGCACAAUAUUAGCAUUAUAUAUUACUAUAUUG